GACGAACGCUGGCGGCGUGCUUAACACAUGCAAGUCGAACGGGCCUUGUCCCCUUUUUUUUUGGGGGUGGGGUUAGUGGCGAACGGGUGAGUAACACGUGAGUAACCUGCCCCUCACUUCUGGAUAACCGCUUGAAAGGGUGGCUAAUACGGGGUGUUCUGGCCUGCUCGCAUGGGUGGGUUUGGAAAGAUUCGACCGGUUUUGGUUGUUUUGGUGGGGGAUGGGCUCGCGGCCUAUCAGCUUGUUGGUGGGGUGAUGGCCUGCCAAGGCUUUGACGGGUAGCCGGCCUGAGAGGGUGGGCGGUCACACUGGGACUGAGACACGGCCCAGACUCCUACGGGAGGCAGCAGUGGGGAAUAUUGCACAAGGGGCGCAAGCCUGAUGCAGCGACGCCGCGUGAGGGAUGGAGGCCUUCGGGUUGUGAACCUCUUUCGCCAGUGAAGAAGGUCCUGCUCUUUGUGGUGGGGUUGACGGUAGCGGGGUUAAUGAAGCGCCGGCUAACUACGUG
rnacentral:rRNA from 1 species